UACGGGAGGCAGCAGUGGGGAAUAUUGCACAAUGGGCGAAAGCCUGAUGCAGCUAUGCCGCGUGUAUGAAGAAGGCCUUAGGGUUGUAAAGUACUUUCAUCGGGGAGGAAAAACAAAACUAAUAAUUUUAUUUCUUGACGUUACCCGAAAAAGAAGCACCGGCUAACUCCGUGCCAGCAGCCGCGGUAAUACGGAGGGUGCUAGGCGUUAAUCAGAAUUACUGGGCGUAAAGAGCACGUAGGUGGUUUUUUUAAGUCAGAUGUGAAAUCCCUGGGCUUAACCUAGGAACUGCAUUUUGAAACUGAAAUACUAGAGUAUCGUAGAGGGAGGUAGAAUUCUAGGUGUAGCGGUGAAAUGCGUAGAUAUCUGGAGGAAUACCUGUGGCGAAAGCGGCCUCCUAAACGAAUACUGACACUGAGGUGCGAAAGCGUGGGGAGCAAACAGGGAUUAGAUACC
rnacentral:rRNA from 1 species